GACGAACGCUGGCGGCGCGCCUAACACAUGCAAGUCGAACGAGCGAGAGAGAGCUUGCUUUCUCGAGCGAGUGGCGAACGGGUGAGUAACGCGUGAGGAACCUGCCUCAAAGAGGGGGACAACAGUCGGAAACGACUGCUAAUACCGCAUAAGCCCACGACCCGGCAUCGGGUAGAGGGAAAAGGAGCAAUCCGCUUUGAGAUGGCCUCGCGUCCGAUUAGCUAGUUGGUGAGGUAACGGCCCACCAAGGCGACGAUCGGUAGCCGGACUGAGAGGUUGAACGGCCACAUUGGGACUGAGACACGGCCCAGACUCCUACGGGAGGCAGCAGUGGGGAAUAUUGCACAAUGGGGGAAACCCUGAUGCAGCGACGCCGCGUGGAGGAAGAAGGUCUUCGGAUUGUAAACUCCUGUUGUUGAGGAAGAUAAUGACGGUACUCAACAAGGAAGUGACGGCUAACUACGUG
rnacentral:rRNA from 1 species